rnacentral:rRNA from 1 species
CCUACGGGUGGCUGCAGUGGGGAAUAUUGGGCAAUGGGCGCAAGCCUGACCCAGCAACGCCGCGUGAAGGAAGAAGGCUUUCGGGUUGUAAACUUCUUUUCUCAGGGACGAAGCAAGUGACGGUACCUGCGGAAUAAGCCACGGCUAACUACGUGCCAGCAGUCGCGGUAAUACGGAGGUGGCAAGCGUUAUCCGGAUGUACUUGGUGUAAAGGGCGUGCAGCCGGAGAGACAAGUCAGAUGUGAAAUCCACGGGCUCAACCCGUGAACUGCCUUUGAAACUGGUUCCCUUGAGUGUCGGAGAGGUAAUCGGAAUUCCUUGUGUAGCGGUGAAAUGCGUAGAUAUAAGGAAGAACACCAGUGGCGAAGGCGGAUUACUGGACGAUAACUGACGGUGAGGCGCGAAAGCGUGGGGAGCAAACAGGAUUAGAUACCCUUGUAGUC